CCUACGGGAGGCAGCAGUGAGGAAUAUUGGUCAAUGGGCGCAAGCCUGAACCAGCCAAGUAGCGUGAAGGAUGACUGCCCUACGGGUUGUAAACUUCUUUUAUAAAGGAAUAAAGUGAGGCACGUGUGCCUUUUUGUAUGUACUUUAUGAAUAAGGAUCGGCUAACUCCGUGCCAGCAGCCGCGGUAAUACGGAGGAUCCGAGCGUUAUCCGGAUUUAUUGGGUUUAAAGGGAGCGUAGGGGGGUUGUUAAGUCAGUUGUGAAAGUUUGCGGCUCAACCGUAAAAUUGCAAUUGAUACUGGCAGUCUUGAGUACAUGUGAGGUAGGCGGAAUGCGUGGUGUAGCGGUGAAAUGCUGAGAUAUCACGAAGAACCCCGAGUGCGAAGGCAGCCUACCAAGCCGCGACUGACACUGAUGCUCGAAAGCGUGGGUAUCAAACAGGAUUAGAUACCCGAGUAGUC
rnacentral:rRNA from 1 species